ensembl:lncRNA
GCUUUGUGGGCAGAACCUGAUGUUCAGAGAGGCCCCAGGCUUGGUUUAAAGUGCUGCUGUUUCCAUCUCAAAAUUCUUUAAUCCCUUUCUCUUUAAACUUGUGUUUUGGCUUCAUGAGCACAGAAUCCCCCUGGAACGAGGAUGCCUGGGAGUUGAGUGAGACAAGACGUGAAGCAAGUACGAGGCGGAUUCUUUACUGCUGGACCACCUGGGAAUCUCCAAGAGCCCACAUGUCUCAAUUAAAAAAACAAAAAACCCUGCAUGCUGCAAGGAAGAUCUCAAGUACCACAGCUAAGACCUGGUGCAGCCAAAUAAAUUUUAAAAAAGGAAAAAGAAGCAAGCAGUUUAAAGUAUGUGGUUAGUUUUGUGGGGUCAUUUCCAUUGUUCUGCUAUGAACUAUAUACACAUACAUUCAGGAGCUACAAAAUGAGAAUUGUGUAAUUUUUGUGAUUCUGCAUAAGAGAUAAGUGUUCCUAUAUUUGCUUUUAAAACUGCCAUCAGAUAAUGUAAAGAUGAAUGGUUAAAUCUAUGCUAAUAGUGAACAUUUUUAAUUUUUCUUUGCUUAGAUUGACAUUAAAUAACAAGUAAAAGACACCAUGCCAAGUCAAGAGACCCAGAAGAAAGGAAAGAGGUGAUUUCCAGGAGAACAGGGAAGCGUAAACUUGAGGCCAUCAUCUUCAAAGUGGAAGGAUACAGGUCGAGAAAAACAACACGCAUGUUGGAAGGAGGCCGGAUACUGGAUGGGCAUAGCCUCACUCCCCCUCCCUCAUGUUCACCUUACUAAAGAAGCAGUAAUGGCUCCCCAGCGUGCAAAGCACUGAAAUGACUAACAGCUGAGCAGGCGACAACCAAGCGGAGCAGGGCCCUGGCUGUGUUCCCACCGCUAAGUCAUGCAGAAGAGGCCAUCUUUACCUCCUCCGAGCCUCCACAGCAGCUAAUGCUAUUAGGAUAAAAGAUGGGUCCAUUUGGGCCCUAAACCUUGAUGUUCAGGUACUCUACAAGGUCAGUGACUGGAGAGAAUGCAAGAGCUGAAGCAGGAGUUUCCAGAGAAGAGGCUG